UACGAAGGGGGCUAGCGUUGCUCGGAAUUACUGGGCGUAAAGCGCACGUAGGCGGAUUGUUAAGUCGGGGGUGAAAUCCUGGAGCUCAACUCCAGAACUACCUUCGAUACUGGCGAUCUCGAGUUCGGGAGAGGUGAGUGGAACUGCGAGUGUAGAGGUGAAAUUCGUAGAUAUUCGCAAGAACACCAGUGGCGAAGGCGGCUCACUGGCCCGAUACUGACGCUGAGGUGCGAAAGCGUGGGGAGCAAACAGG
rnacentral:rRNA from 1 species